rnacentral:rRNA from 1 species
UACGUAGGGUGCAAGCGUUGUCCGGAAUUACUGGGCGUAAAGCGCACGUAGGCGGCUUCUUAAGUCGGUGGUGAAAUCCUGGAGCUCAACUCCAGAACUGCCUUCGAUACUGGGAAGCUCGAGUCCGGGAGAGGUGAGUGGAACUGCGAGUGUAGAGGUGAAAUUCGUAGAUAUUCGCAAGAACACCAGUGGCGAAGGCGGCUCACUGGCCCGGUACUGACGCUGAGGUGCGAAAGCGUGGGGAGCAAACGGG